rnacentral:misc_RNA from 1 species
GGGGUGGGAAUGGUUGCUGGAGCGUUAGUCAAUGUUGUUGUUGGUGCUGCUGGAGCAGGUGUAGGAGUUGGAGGGUCAGCCAGCACAGAACUAGAAGCAGGUGCCUUGCUACUAGAUGUCGUCUUGGCAGUUGAUGCCCCACAUGAAGAACCCGUAGCCUUCUUCAACAUAACCACAAGAAAAGUAUUUUCAGAAAUUUUAUUAUCAUCCAAUGUUGCAUUAUCAUCAUUUAGAACUUUCCCUUGAUAUAUAAGCAUUUGUUGUUCAGCUGGGUAAACAUUUUGGCCCUGUGUACUCUCUAUAAUCUUUUUUACAUCAGCAACCGUAUCCUCGGGCUUGGCUUCAAUCUCGAACUUGCUUCCCUUGAGAGUCUUGACGGAGAUCUUCAUCACUCUCGGCGGCGGAGCCCCUCCUCGAUGGCGAUUCGGCGGUGGCGAGGGGUUAGGGUUCUUC